rnacentral:rRNA from 1 species
CCUACGGGAGGCAGCAGUGGGGAAUAUUGCACAAUGGGGGAAACCCUGAUGCAGCGACGCCGCGGGAAGGAAGAAGUAUUUCGGUAUGUAAACUUCUAUCAGCAGGGAAGAAAAUGACGGUACCUGACUAAGAAGCCCCGGCUAACUACGUGCCAGCAGCCGCGGUAACACGUAGGGGGCCAGCGUUGUCCGGAUUUACUGGGUGAAACGGGAGCGGAGGCGGCGAUGCAAGUCAGAAGUGAAAGCCCGGGGCUCAACUCCGGGACUGCUUUUGAAACUGUAUGGCUAGAUUGCAGGAGAGGCAAGUGGAAUUCCUAGUGUAGCGGUGAAAUGCGUAGAUAUUAGGAGGAACACCAGUGGCGAAGGCGGCUUGCUGGACUGUAAAUGACGCUGAGGCUCGAAAGCGUGGGGAGCAAACAGGAUUAGAUACCCGGGUAGUC